GCCUGGACAAAAUGCUGCAAGGUGAUGUCACCCCCUUUGUCAGUUCUGAGCCAGAAACCCACCUUCUCGGGAUGAUUUUGCCCAGCAUUUCCUGAAUCUCCCAUGUUUCUUCCGGGCUCUUCCUCAUCUGGACUGCACCCCUGUCUGCCUCCCCGGAACCUGGACCCCUCAGUAGUAAUCUCCACUGCCUACCGAUUCUCUGCCCUUCUCCACCCGUUGGCUUCUCCCCAGCAGGGCCGGACCUGCUCCUUCCACACGGGGGGCGUCCUUCUCUCCUGCUCCCUGUAGCUGCCCCUCUGUCUCUUUCUUCUCUUCUCUGCACAUCUAUUAUCCCUCCUUCUCUCGAUCUAGAUUUUGACUUGAAUCUAUUUUCCACCGUUUUCCUCAGAAACCUCCCUCCAUGGUUAUCAGUUUUGUCAAACCCAGGUUCAGUGGGCCACUUUCCAAAGCAUGUCCCUGUCCUUCCUGUGGUAUUUCACACCUGCAAGUCCUCCUCCUUGGUACUUCCUCCACCGUGAUCCUCUAAGGAGGUGUCUUGAUUUCCGCACCCCAAAUACAAACCCAGCUGCCAACCACAAGUCUCUACCUGGAUGCCCCAGGGACGACUCUACAUCUGCAUCUGACGCCAGACUCAUCAUCUUAACCUCAAGCAUGCUCUCUUCCUGUUGAUGAAGAAACUGAGGCACAGAAAGGUGCCCAAGGUGUCUUGAUAUUGAGAAGUCAGCUACCAGAUACCAGAUGUAAAUGAAAAGGCCCAGAACUCUGCCUCUAAUUUGUGACUUCUUCCAAAGCACCACCCUGCUUGCUGUGUUGCCAUGGAAACAAGGCUGGGCCUGUCUGCAGGUGGAUGAGAGACUAUACAGAGCAGAGGCGAACCAUCCCAGCUGAGGCCCCCCGCCAAACCAGCAGCUGACCACAGACACAUGAGUGAACCUGGCCAAGACCAGAAGAACCACCUAGCUGAGCCCAGAACAA